rnacentral:ncRNA from 1 species
CCUCCGCCCUCCCCGCACAGGAGGGUGGAACGAGGUCCCCGGCGGCUCUCUGCCCUGACUGCGUCGAGACCCUCCCACGGCCGACCGGGGACCGCACACCCGCCGGCCGCGCAACUCCGGGCUGCGGUGCCGGACGGGUUGAGGGUCCCGUCGCGGCGC